rnacentral:misc_RNA from 1 species
GACCCUCUCUUCCUCUAAAUAAUUUCAAAUUUCUUUGUUCUCCGAUUCUCUAAAUGGGUAUCUCUCAAUUUCAGAGAACAGUAAUCUCUCUUUUCUUUAUAAUUUUUCUCUUAAUAAGCUUAGAUAACUCGUGUCUAGCUGCAAGAAGGCUAACUGCACUCUAUCAACCGCCACCCUUGUCUCUUACAUACCAUAACGGUGCUUUGCUUGAAGGAAACCUUCCGGUCUCCAUUCUGUGGUAUGGUCAGUUCACGCCACCUCAAAAAUCCAUUAUAGCAGAUUUUCUUCUCUCUCUAAACACAUCGGCUCCUUCCACUUCUACACAACCUUCAGUCUCCUACUGGUGGAGCUUAAUCCAAUCCUACCUCAAAAAAGCAGGCAAAAAAGAGACUCAAGUACGUUUAUCAACCCAAAUUUCUGAUACAAACUGCUCAUUAGGCAAAAUCUUGAAGAAAUCCCAGAUAACCGAGUUGGCCACCAAGGUUAACUCAAAACCGGGUGGUUUAACCCUGGUCUUAACAGCUAAAGACGUUGCUGUUGAAGGAUUUUGCAUGAGUAACUGCGGCUUUCAUGGCUCAUACACUAAACAUGACUCGCCUUUUAUCUGGGUCGGAAACUCGGAGACUCAGUGCCCGGGUCAAUGCGCAUGGCCGUUUCACCAACCCAUUUAUGGACCACAAACUACACCACUAGGUGCACCGAACGGUGACGUAGGGGUAGAUGGCAUGGUCAUAAAUAUAGCUGGUAUUUUAGCCUGUACCGUAACGAACCCAUUCGGUAGUGGUUAUUACGUCGAGUCGGGUGGCAUCCCACUGGAAGCGGCUUCGGCUUGUACAGGUGUGUAUGGGAAAGGGGCGUACCCAGGUUAUGCUGGGGAGCUUUUAGUGGAUUCUAGCACCGGUGCUAGCUAUAAUGCUGUGGGUGUCCAUGGAAGGAAGUAUCUGUUGCCUGCUUUGUUUGAUCCAUCGAUUUCCGAAUGUUCUCCUAUCGUGUGAGCCAGGUGUGGCAGGUCGUGGCACUUAGUAAUUGGUGGUGAUCUGCUCUACUACUGUGAUAUUGUACAUAUGUAUGUAUCUGAAAACCGUGAAAUAAA